rnacentral:rRNA from 1 species
CGAAAGCCUGACGGAGCAACGCCGCGUGUGGGAGGACGGCCUUAGGGUUGUAAACCACUUUUCUCUGGGAAGAAGGACUGACGGUACCAGAGGAAUAAGCCUCGGCUAACUCCGUGCCAGCAGCCGCGGUAAGACGGAGGAUGCAAGCGUUAUCCGGAAUUAUUGGGCGUAAAGCGUCCGCAGGUGGCGAUUCAAGUCUGCUGUCAAAGCACGGGGCUUAACUCCGUUAAGGCAGUGGAAACUGAAUGGCUAAAGUGCCGUAGGGGUAGAGGGAAUUCCCGGUGUAGCGGUGAAAUGCGUAGAGAUCGGGAAGAACAUCGGUGGCGAAAGCGCUCUACUGGACGGCAACUGACACUCAGGGACGAAAGCUAGGGGAGCG